rnacentral:rRNA from 1 species
UUAAGUGAAUAAGGGCGCACGGUGGAUGCCUUGGCACUAGGAGCCGAUGAAGGACGGGACUAACACCGAUAUGCUUUGGGGAGCUGUACGUAAGCUAUGAUCCAGAGAUUUCCGAAUGGGGAAACCCAACAUCUUUUAUAGGAUGUUACGUUUGCGUGAAUACAUAGCGCAUUCGAGGUAGACGCAGAGAACUGAAACAUCUAAGUACCUGCAGGAAGAGAAAGAAAAUUCGAUUCCCUGAGUAGCGGCGAGCGAAACGGGAAAAGCCCAAACCAAUGAGCUUGCUCAUUGGGGUUGUAGGACUCCAAUAUGGUAGUUCUUUCAGAUAAUCGAAUGACUUGGAAAAGUCAGUCAAAGAGGGUAAAAACCCCGUAGAUGAAAUUUGGAAGGCACCUAGGAGGAUCCUGAGUACGGCGGAACACGAGGAAUUCCGUCGGAAUCCGGGAGGACCAUCUCCCAAGGCUAAAUACUCCCUAGUGACCGAUAGUGAACCAGUACCGUGAGGGAAAGGUGAAAAGCACCCCGGAAGGGGAGUGAAAUAGAAUCUGAAACCGUGUGCCUACAACAAGUCAAAGCCCGUUAAUGGGUGAUGGCGUGCCUUUUGUAGAAUGAACCGGCGAGUUACGAUUGCAUGCGAGGUUAAGUCGAAGAGACGGAGCCGUAGCGAAAGCGAGUCUGAAUAGGGCGUUUGAGUAUGUAGUCGUAGACCCGAAACCAUGUGAUCUACCCAUGUCCAGGUUGAAGGUGCGGUAAAACGCACUGGAGGACCGAACCCACGUACGUUGAAAAGUGCGGGGAUGAGGUGUGGGUAGCGGAGAAAUUCCAAACGAACUUGGAGAUAGCUGGUUCUCUCCGAAAUAGCUUUAGGGCUAGCCUCGGAUUUGAGAAUGAUGGAGGUAGAGCACUGUUUGGACUAGGGGCCCAUCUCGGGUUACCGAAUUCAGAUAAACUCCGAAUGCCAUUCAUUCAUAUCCGGGAGUCAGACUGUGAGUGAUAAGAUCCAUAGUCGAAAGGGAAACAGCCCAGACCACCAGCUAAGGUCCCAAAAUAUAUGUUAAGUGGAAAAGGAUGUGGGGUUGCACAGACAACUAGGAUGUUGGCUCAGAAGCAGCCACCAUUUAAAGAGUGCGUAAUAGCUCACUAGUCGAGUGACCUUGCGCCGAAAAUGUACCGGGGCUAAACAUAUUACCGAAGCUGUGGAGUACACCAUUAGGUGUAUUGGUAGGAGAGCGUUCUAAGGGCGUUGAAGGCAGAUCGUGAGGACUGCUGGAGCGCUUAGAAGUGAGAAUGCCGGUAUGAGUAGCGAAAGACAGGUGAGAAUCCUGUCCACCGAAUGACUAAGGUUUCCUGGGGAAGGCUCGUCCGCCCAGGGUUAGUCGGGACCUAAGCCGAGGCCGACAGGCGUAGGCGAUGGACAACAGGUUGAUAUUCCUGUACUCGUUGUUUUUGUUUGAGCAAUGGAGGGACGCAGGAGGCUAAGGAAUGCAGACGAUUGGAAAUGUCUGUCCAAGCAGUAAGUCUUGAUAGGAGUCAAAUGCUUCUGUCUACACGGAUAAGCUGUGAUGGGGAGGGAAAUAAUAGUACCGAAGUUCCUGAUGUCACACUGCCAAGAAAAGCUUCUAGUGAGAAAACAAUGACCCGUACCGCAAACCGACACAGGUAGUCGAGGAGAGAAUCCUAAGGUGAGCGAGAGAACUCUCGUUAAGGAACUCGGCAAAAUGACCCCGUAACUUCGGGAGAAGGGGUGCUGAUCUUUGAUCAGCCGCAGUGAAUAGGCCCAAGCGACUGUUUAUCAAAAACACAGGUCUCUGCAAAAUCGUAAGAUGAAGUAUAGGGGCUGACGCCUGCCCGGUGCUGGAAGGUUAAGAGGAGUGCUUAGCGUAAGCGAAGGUACGAAUUGAAGCCCCAGUAAACGGCGGCCGUAACUAUAACGGUCCUAAGGUAGCGAAAUUCCUUGUCGGGUAAGUUCCGACCCGCACGAAAGGCGUAACGAUUUGGGCACUGUCUCAACGAGAGACUCGGUGAAAUUUUAGUACCUGUGAAGAUGCAGGUUACCCGCGACAGGACGGAAAGACCCCAUGGAGCUUUACUGUAGUUUGAUAUUGAGUGUCUGUACCGCAUGUACAGGAUAGGUAGGAGCCGUAGAAAUCGGAACGCUAGUUUCGAUGGAGGCGCUGGUGGGAUACUACCCCUGCGUUAUGGCCACUCUAACCCGCACCACUGAUCGUGGUGGGAGACAGUGUCAGAUGGGCAGUUUGACUGGGGCGGUCGCCUCCUAAAAGGUAACGGAGGCGCCCAAAGGUUCCCUCAGAAUGGUUGGAAAUCAUUCGAAGAGUGUAAAGGCAGAAGGGAGCUUGACUGCGAGACCAACAAGUCGAGCAGGGACGAAAGUCGGGCUUAGUGAUCCGGUGGUUCCGCAUGGAAGGGCCAUCGCUCAACGGAUAAAAGCUACCCUGGGGAUAACAGGCUUAUCUCCCCCAAGAGUCCACAUCGACGGGGAGGUUUGGCACCUCGAUGUCGGCUCGUCGCAUCCUGGGGCUGUAGUCGGUCCCAAGGGUUGGGCUGUUCGCCCAUUAAAGCGGCACGCGAGCUGGGUUCAGAACGUCGUGAGACAGUUCGGUCCCUAUCCGUCGCGGGCGUUGGAAAUUUGAGAGGAGCUGUCCUUAGUACGAGAGGACCGGGAUGGACUUACCGCUGGUGUACCAGUUGUUCUGCCAAGGGCAUUGCUGGGUAGCUAUGUAGGGAAGGGAUAAACGCUGAAAGCAUCUAAGUGUGAAGCCCACCUCAAGAUGAGAUUUCCCAUUUCUUUAAGAAAGUAAGAUCCCUGAGAGAUGAUCAGGUAGAUAGGUCAGGAGUGGAAGGCCAGUGAUGGUUGGAGCGGACUGAUACUAAUCGAUCGAGGACUUAACCAA